rnacentral:rRNA from 1 species
UGCCAGCCGCCGCGGUAAUACGGAGGGGGUUAGCGUUGUUCGGAAUUACUGGGCGUAAAGCGUACGUAGGCGGAUUAAUAAGUUAGAGGUGAAAUCCCAGGGCUCAACCCUGGAACUGCCUUUAAAACUGUUAGUCUUGAGAUCGAGAGAGGUGAGUGGAAUUCCAAGUGUAGAGGUGAAAUUCGUAGAUAUUUGGAGGAACACCAGUGGCGAAGGCGGCUCACUGGCCAUUUUUGACGCUGAGAUACGAAAGCGUGGGUAGCAAACAGGAUUAGAUA